rnacentral:ncRNA from 1 species
GAUAUGUUACUCCGAAUUGUCACCGUACGGUGGCGUGGUUGGAAAAACCAACAUAGGAUAAUAAUCGAGA